GACAAACGGGGAGUCGAUCCUUCACUACUACAGUCAAAGCUGUUGUGCUAUGUGGUGAAUUUGGUGUUUCAGCUACUUAGAGUUUUUUUGGAUAAACAAGCUGUGUGUAGCUGUCUUUAGACACCCUGUUUUUGUAUCCACCCUUAUAUUGAACUUGUCAACAUCCUAACCAGAUAGUCGACAGCAGCCUGAAAGAGAAAGCCGCUGCCCGUGUCAGAGCUAACCAGGGGGCGGAAGGUGUGAGCGUAUAGAGAACGGGCCGUAACACUAUCUACUACAAAGAUGUUGCAAAAAGUCAUGACACGACAGGCUGAUGUUUCAGAACUUGGUCAAAAAAGUCCAAAAUUCCAUAACCAUUUUCUAUGGUCAGCGGUGGAAGACAGAGAAAAAGAGGACAACGUUUGGACAGCAACACCAGAUUCUUAUUGAGAGCAGAAUAAAUGCUAGCUGGUUCUUACUAGCAAGACUAGACAAAACAAAAUAUCCUUUACCCUUCUGUGAGCAGAGUCACCACUCUGUAGGCCAGACCCUAACUGCUGCCUCAAAAACCCUUCAACCACUGAUUGAUAGCUAGGACGAACAGCACUCUAAAGUCACCCUGUUUUACCCUUCAGGGGGAUUGGUCAAUUUGCCUGCUGGCCACAGAUACUGUACUUCAGAGGAAGGAGCCCUUCUUUCACCAAUGUCCACAUAGAGCUCAGGUAGUGGGAUCUCUUAAAGGGUAUUAAAGCAGUAUGGCAUUAGGGGUGUAGUAUAUGGCCAAUAUAUAUGGAUGGAGGGGUGGAGGGAAGGAUGACGAAGAGGUUGAGGGAAGGAUGAUGUAAGGGCUCCAAUUCUGUACUGGCGCUCAGUCACAUAUCUGUGUGUUGACUGCAUAGGACAGUUUACCAGAUAAUAAACACAUCCAACGUGCUGUCAUCCACAGACGCCCCACCGGCUGUUUACCGUAACACAACUCCUUAACCAUGAUGACAUUACACACACCAAGAACCUCAACAGAUGUUUGUACUCACUUAAAACAUUGUGAUAUCAUUCCAGCAUGAAGUGGUCCAGCUUUUAAAAAAGUAGAAAUGCUGAUCUGUUCUGAUUACUACAUUUGAUCAUCUGUGUAUAACAGCGGCAAAUAGGAGUCUCACAUUACAGAAGGCACUAAGAUGCAGA